rnacentral:rRNA from 1 species
CCCUUAGAUGUUCUGGGCCGCACGCGCGCUACACUGAAUGGAUCAACGUGUUUUCCCUUCCCGAGAGGGACGGGUAACCCGCUGAACCCCAUUCGUGGUAGGGAUCGGAGCUUGCAAUUGUUCUCCGUGAACCAGGAAUUCCCAGUAAGCGCAAGUCAUAAGCUUGCGUUGAUUACGUCCCUGCCCUUUGUACACACCGCCCGUCGCACCUACCGAUUGAAUGGUCCGGUGAAGCCUCCGGAUUGGCGUGCACCCUCGGGUGCUGCCGAGAAGUUGGCUAAACCUUACCAUUUAGAGGAAGGUGAAGUCGUAACA